rnacentral:rRNA from 1 species
GCCACAGCCAUAUCACCCUGCAGCCCAAGACUGGUUGCCCACUGAAGCUAAGCAGGGUUGAGCCUGGUCAGUUCCUGGAUGGGAGACCUCCUGGGAAAACUAGGUUGCUGCUGGAA